rnacentral:rRNA from 1 species
UACGUAGGGGGCAAGCGUUGUCCGGAUUUAUUGGGCGUAAAGAGCGUGUAGGCGGCCAUACAGGUCAGCUGUGAGAACUCGAGGCUCAACCUCGAGACGUCGGUUGAAACCGUAUGGCUAGAGUCCGGAAGAGGAGAGUGGAAUUCCCGGUGUAGCGGUGAAAUGCGCAGAUAUCGGGGAAGAACACCCGUGGCGAAGGCGGCUCUCUGGGACGGUACUGACGCUGAGACGCGAAAGCGUGGGGAGCGAACAGG